CAGUCGCCGCGGGAAAACGUAGGGCGCGAGCGUUGUCCGGAAUUAUUGGGCGUAAAGGGCUCGUAGGCGGCUUGUCGCGUCUGCUGUGAAAAUGCUGGGCUUAACUCCGUACGUGCAGUGGGUACGGGCAGGCUAGAGUGCGGUAGGGGUGACUGGAAUUCCUGGUGUAGCGGUGGAAUGCGCAGAUAUCAGGAGGAACACCGAUGGCGAAGGCAGGUCACUGGGCUGUUACUGACGCUGAGGAGCGAAUGCGUGGGGAGCGAACAGGAUUAGAUACCCCCGUAGUCCCUGUCUCUUAUAC
rnacentral:rRNA from 1 species